AUGUCCCUAAGGCCAACAUAGGGCUCCACUAUUGAAAUGAGGAGGCAAAAUCACAGCUCUACAGUUGACUUCAUCCUCUUGGGAUUUUCUAACUAUCCUGAACUUCAAGGGCAGAUGUUUGGGGCUUUCCUAGUUAUUUAUCUGGUGACUGUGUUUGGAAAUGCCAUCAUUAUCACGAUCAUCUUCCUGGACCAGAGCCUGCACAUCCCCAUGUACCUGUUCCUGCAGAACUUAUCCUUAGUGGACCUCUGUUUCAGCACAGUCAUCACACCUAAAAUACUUGUGGUCCUGACCACUGAGAAAGCAACCAUUUCCUUUGGGGGCUGUUUUGCACAGAUGUACUUCAUUCUUCUCUUUGGUAUGACUGAGUGUUUUCUCCUGGGAUCAAUGGCUUAUGACCGAUUUGCUGCAAUCUGCCAUCCUCUAUCCUACCCAGUGAUUAUGAACAAAAGGGUCUUUGUAAAAUUAGCCAUGUUCUCAUGGGUCUCAGGUACCAUGAUGACUACUCUGCAGACCACAUGGGUGUUUAGCUUCCCCUACUGUGGCCACAAGGAAAUUAACCAUCUCUUCUGUGAGACUCCUCCUGUGCUGGAACUCGCAUGUGCAGACACUUUCCUGUUUGAAGUCUAUGCUUUCACGGGUACCAUUUUGAUUGUCAUGGUCCCCUUUCUGUUGAUACUCUUGUCUUAUACUCGAAUUCUCUUUGCCAUCCUGAGGAUGCCAUCCACUACAGGGAGGCAGAAGGCCUUUUCCACAUGUGCCUCUCAUCUCACCUCUGUCACCCUUUUCUAUGGCACAGCCAGUAUAACUUAUCUCCAGCCCAAAUCCAGGUACUCAGCAGACACCAAGAAACUGAUGUCAUUGGCUUACACACUGCUCACUCCUCUGCUGAAUCCACUCAUCUACAGCCUGAGAAACAAGGAGAUGAAAAGGGCUGUGUUGAAAUUAUGGCAAAGAAAAGUGGCUUUACACACAGGUUAA